GCCGUCAUAGCUCAGCUGGGAGAGCGACAGACUGAAGCUUACGUAAGCUUGACAUCUGCAGGUCGCCUGUUCAAGCCAGGCUGACGGCA